UAGGGCGCCAAAUAAAGAGGAGAUUCGGUGACAAAAAAUUUGUCGCCGAAAACAUGUUUCAGUGACAAGCAUAAAGUUGUCCCUAAAAAGAUCUGAAUUUUCACACUCCCAGUUGCUAUUCAUUUUGGCGCGUUAAAUGAAAAGUUAUGCCAUAUAAACGACGUAGUUUCAUGUGUCUUUUGCUUGUCACAAAAAUAAGCCCUAAUUUUGCUCUACUUACCCGCUGCCUCUCUCCACUCACGUUGCACCCUCCAUUUACGCUGAAGACUCAAACUCGGCCCCCUUCCUCGCUGAACUCGGCAGCACCACAACCACCGUGGACGACUGAAAGGCUCGCUCUCUGUGAUUUUUGGUAUUCCUCCACUCUCCAAUCUUCCGAUUUCAUGGAUUUUUCCCUGCAUUUACAAGAAAAUUCGAUUCGUUUCACAACUCACUGACUCAAUCCCCUUUCUCUCUCAAUCGAUCCCCUAAAUCUAAUAGUGGUACGUCUCUCUCUCUCUCAGUCGAACGGUGGCUGUUUCAACAGUGAUAUAGUGUAUGGUUGUAUGCGAUUUGGCCUCCCCUUGUUUCCAUCUCCUUUCACGUUGGUGACAUAGCCGCCUCCUCUCACAUUGGUGACAGCGACAGCGUCUCUCGACAGCUCUCUAGGAGUUUGUUCCCGUCGGUGAACCGCUACUCUUCGUGGCCGAGUUUUGACGAGUCGCUCCUCAAAGUCAUCGAGUCGGAGAUCAAGUGCGCCGAAGAGUGUGACGACCAGGAUGAGGUACAAGAGAGGGCUUUGUUGGGGGAUUUGAUGAUGUGGAGUUCAAUCGCGAAUUUGAAAGAAAACCUCCAGAUACUUGGAUAGGACUGGUUUUCCUUGCUAACUUUCUAGAAGAACAUCUGGAAGAAGAUAUUUUCUAGCAAUCUAAUUUACUUCAAUCACUUGGUCAAGAAGAAGAUUCAAUCUAUUUAGCAGAUGAUUCUGAUAUUGCCUAUUGGCUCCCUCGAUUGAAGUUGAUUCGGAAUUGAUUAAAAUAGGUAUUUUGGCUAGUUUGUUGAGCGUGACGAUGAUGGCGAUGAAGGGCUCGAGAUCUCGAUCAAUUCGCCAGAUUGAAAAGGUCAUCUCCACACUGACCGCUGAUUCCCUUACUAUUUCGCGCAUUCAAGUCGUGCUUUGCAUUCUCCCGUGGCCAAUGGAUUCGAUUCCCCGUACAACGAUGAGGUAUUUUUCCAUUGUCUUUAGGUCACUAUCUAAUGAAAUGUCCUUAUGAAUUUUUUUUUGUUGUUAUUGUAUCACAUUCGUUUCUUUGCUCUGAGUUGUGUGCUUCAGUUAUUUAGAGAUACGACUUUGGUUUUUGUAGAAUUGUGUGAAUUUGGAAUAGAACUCCCUAUGCAAGUGAAAAAUAGCGAGCUAUGUGAACUCCCUACGCAAUGUCCACAUUGCAAGUGCCACUAUGUAUCAAAUUGUGAAGGAGAUGAUUGACAAGAUGGUCCAUGCAGUGAAAUUUGUUCGAGUCACAAAAAGAGUACAUGAAGCAUAUUUUGCAUUGCCGUAAUGAUUCACAAAGAAUACCUGACAAUAAUCUGAAUCAGACUAUCAGUGAAGACGUCAUUUUUGUGUCCAUGGCUUUUUUAUAGGACAUUAAAGAGGCCAAGGACCAGACCACGUGAAGGCUAAAGCAAAUUAAUGCCAGCAAAAUGUAGAACGCAUAUUUGGCAUAUGGAGUCCCAAUAAGUGAAUUGAAGCUCUUUUCUUUGAUGCAAAAGGUUUGAUUUCUAUUGCUCCUGGCACUUUGAUUAUAAAAUGCAGUUAUUUACGGUUUGUAAAAUACUAAACCAAUCAGUUUCUUUAUAGCUUGGCACUCUUUUUGUGAAAGAAGAUUUGUUGAAUUGCCACUGGGCAUUGGACCUUUGUUCUUUUAAAGCCAUGAAGAUGCUAUGCUUACUCUUUGCACUUAUAUCUUGAGCAAAGAACUUAAGCUUUUUCCUUUGUUCCUUUUGUCUGAAUUCCAUUAAUAGCAACUGAGAGCCUUUAAGAAUCUUAAGGCUAAGUGCACCUUUUGCACUUUAAUCCGUUGUUUAACAAACAGAAAAUUGCAAAACAUUGAUACAAGCAAGGAUGAGAUUUUGUUUGAUUUCUUUUUUCUUCUUGAGCGGGAAGGUUCAAGUACUAAUAUUAACUUAUGUUUGUCUUACAGGUAGCAUACACCAUUGGGAGGCAUUCUCUUCGUGCGGCUGCAAUCGAGUAUGUGAUAUUAUUUUCCUUCGCUAGUAUCUUUUUCUAGUCUGGUUCUACUUUGGCAGAGCUUGGUCUAACUGCCUUGCUUGGCUUUCUACCUCUUGUAUUGUUGAGCUAGUUUAACACUGCUCAUCUACAUAGCACUACACGAUUUAAAAAGGCACGGCACGACACACGAUUAAGUAAACGGGCUGGCACGGCACAACAAAAAAAGGCACGGCAUGACGCGUCACGAUUAAUUAAUCGGGCACGACACGACACGAUUUUAAAAGGGCACGGCCCGACACGGUACGAUAAAGUAAAAUAGCACACCACGGCACGCCAUGGCACGAUGAAGUAAACAGGCGCAACAUGGCAUGGUACGAAUCACGGUUGGCACGGAAGUUGCAUGGUACGACACGGCACGACAGGCACGUUUGACACCCCUAUAUUUCAGUCAAGAGGUUCAACUAGAGAUGGUACUGGAGUUCAUGAUAGCAUUGUUAACCAGCUCCGUUGGUUUAACUGUUUCUCAAAUUGUCUCAGUAGAAAUGAAGGGAAGAUUUCACAGAGUAGUAAAGUUAAAACCAAGAUAAUAGUUAGCUCACUUAGGUUGCAUAUCAUCGAUAUUAUGUAGAAUGGCAUCAAAAUCUGGGUUGGGCAGCUUGCUUAGUCACUCAUGAGUCGUGCCACAAUUUGUCAUAUGACAACUUGGAGCAAAAUCUUUCUUUUUCAAAAUCUUUCGUAGGCUUGACAUGUUACAUAAUUGUUUUUUUGUUUUUUGUUUUUUGUUUUUUUGCAAUUUUGUACAUGUAAACAAGGAGAUGGAGUUGCUUUUUAGCAGUUAACCAAUAUGGAGUUGAAGACUUUUUGGUAGCUAAAUGGAACACUUGUUUUGAGUUCUUUUUGUCAUUGUACAUAUAUAUAUCCUGGAUAUGGAUAUUUUGUAGUUUUGGUAAUACUUUUAAGUUUGAAGUGGUUAUUAUUGAAGGAUGAAUGUUUUGAAGUUGGACGAUGAAUGUUGACUUAUUGAAUAUUUGAUUUGAAUGAUAUUUUUCUUUUUCGCAA